rnacentral:misc_RNA from 1 species
CCUAGAGUUGUAGGCUUUGCCUGCUAUCUCUUACCCAUGUCUUUUGAGUACUUACGUUUCCUCGGCGGGUCCGCCCGCCGAUUGGACAAUUUAAACCAUUGCAGUUGCAAUCAGCGUCUGAAAAACUUUAAUAGUUA